rnacentral:rRNA from 1 species
GACGAACGCUGGCGGCGUGCUUAACACAUGCAAGUCGAACGGAAAGGCCUGCUUUCCCUUGUGGAUUGCGGGUACUCGAGUGGCGAACGGGUGAGUAACACGUGAGUGAUCUGCCCCCAACUUGGGUAUAAGCCUGGGAAACUGGGUCUAAUUCCCGAUAGGACUGCAGGGUGGUGCCUGUGGUGGAAAACGAUUUUCUAGUGGUUGGGGAUGAGCUCGCGGCCUAUCAGCUUGUUGGUGGGGUAAUGGCCUACCAAGGCGGCGACGGGUAGCCGGCCUGAGGGGGUGGACGGCCACAUUGGGACUGAGAUACGGCCCAGACUCCUACGGGAGGCAGCAGUGGGGAAUAUUGCACAAUGGGCGGAAGCCUGAUGCAGCGACGCCGCGUGGGGGAUGACGGCCUUCGGGUUGUAAACUCCUUUCGACCGCGAGGAAGCCACCUGGUUGGAAGGGUGGUGACGGUAGCGGUAGAAGAAGCACCGGCUAACUACGUG